AGACAACAGAGUGUAGCAGAAAGAGUGCUGGAGUUGAGAGUCCAGAAAAUCUAGGCUUGAAUCCUACCUCAGAAAUUAUGUGAUUCUGGGCAAGUCACUUAACCUCACUUAAUUUCAUCUACAAAAUGAGGGCGUUGGACUCAUUGACUUCUAAAUUCUCUCCUGCUCUGAUACUCUGAGGCCAUAACAUUCAAGGCAUCAAGAGAAGAGGAUUUUGCUUCUGGAUUGAACCUGGUGAAUACUUCAUCAAAGACAUCUCGAAGCAGGGACAGGAUGUCAUUUCCCCCAAUAUAUCCAAACGACCUGCCUUCCCCAACAAAUAACUGUCUUGAUCACACACAGUAGCCCAGAUUUGGGCUCAAGCUCCAGCCUGUCGUCCUUGCCCGCCAAGAUUAUUUUUGGAUUCAGAUCCUGUUAUCCAGCAUAUGUGAUAUCCUUCUCAGCUUCUUGUCUUCUAAAAUUUGACAGGUAUGACAUCUAUGUCUUCAUCCAAGUCAUUGAAAAAAACAUCUUGAACAGCACAGGGUCAAGGACAGAUAGAUGCCUGAGACAUUCCACAAAAGCCCUCCUUUUAAGUUGACACUGAUCACUAAUUAAUGACUACUACUUGGGUCUGGCUGGCUAUUCAACCAAUUCCAAUUCCAUUUAACUAUACUACAAUUUAGACAAAAUCUACCUUUCCCUUUUGCGUUCCCUUUCAUUUAUCCUGUAUACCUUUUAUACUCUUAAUCAUUUACAUGUUUUCUACCCCAUUAGGAUGUAAGCUUCUUAAAGGGAAGAAUUAUUGGUUGUUGUUUUUUGUUGUUGUUGUUAGUAUCAUCAUCAUUGUUUUUAAC
rnacentral:lncRNA from 1 species